CCCCGCGGCGGGCGGAGCCCGGCGCCGCGGCCAGGACUGCUUGCCCCGCUCCCGCGACUCCGCGAGGGGUACUUAACCGAAACUAGCAAUCCCAGGCGGUACAAGGCCCUCCAUCGUAGGCAAAGCACUACCUGAAUGUAGAUUUGGGGCCAUACGUUGGAAAAUAAGACAUGAGAGUAUGCUCCAAUCAACCUUUACUGUUUACUGGACAACUAUUUUGGAGUUUCGCUCUUGUUGCCUAAGCUGGAGUGCAAUGGCGCGAUCUGGGUGCACUGCAACCUCCGUCCCCCGGGUUCAAGCGAUUCUCCUGCCUCAGCCUCCCCAAUAGCUGGGAUUACAGACCCAACUAGCCGAGAGUGAAGAGACAGAAAGAAAGCAGAGAGCCUCUCCAUCGGCCCGUGGUGGUGGACUGGAUGAGGGAAGGAGCCUCCUCCUCUACUCGAAGAAGCUUCUUUCAAAAGAUAAGAACUUCAGCACCAUCGGAAAGGUGAAAAAAGAAAAAAAAAAAAAGAAGAAAAAUCAAAAGAAGAGAACUGCCUGCUUUCUACCUGGGGCAGAGAUGUAAGCACAAUUAGACAUCCAAUUUACAAGGCUUUACUUUCAUCAUUUCCUUUAAGUCUCCGCAUAAGCCAGUGAAGAAGGUGGGAGCUGGCAUAAUGUAAUACUUAACCUUUCCAUUUAUGGAGAGUAAACUGUGGGCCAGGUCCUCUAGCAGGAUCACGAAUAUAAAGGUACAUAUAGUGAGGUCCCAGUUCUGAAGGGAGUGACAUGCAUUGUAGUGGGUAUGUAGCAGGGAAAUCGAGACAGGAAAUUGUACAUGAAAUUGCUGUGAGUGUUAGUGUCUAUUUUCAGAAGAGGCCGAGUUUGCAUAAAUGGACUUAAGACUUUGGUCUUGGCAAGAAGAUGGGAGAUUCUGACAUUUUUCAUGCUGUUAAAAUUCUUUGCUAGAUGAUGUUUUAGCAAUUGGCAUAAAUAAUUUCUUCGUAUUCACUUCAUUCUAAAAAGUAUUUGAAGUAUCUUCAAAGGUAAAAUUGCCAAGUAUUUCCCUGGAAAAAUAGAUAUGGGAAGUAUCCAAAUUAUCUAAGAAGUGGUAUCAAGUUUAUAUUGGCAAUGCUGAGUUUAUGUGUGUAUGUAUGUAUGUAUCUAUUAUUUGAGACAGGAUCUUGCUGUAUUGCCCAGGUGGGGGUGUAGUCAUUAAGCAUGAUCAUAGCUCAGUACAGCCUUGAACUUCUGGGGUGAUCCUCCUGCCUAAUCCUUCCAAGUAGCUAGGACUACAGGCAUGUGAUUUUUGUAUUUUUUGUAGAGACAGGGUCUUGCUAUGUUACCCAGGCUGGUCUGGAACUCCUGGCCUCAAGCGAUCCUUCUGCCCUGGCAUCCCAAAGCACUAGGAUUCCAGGUAUGAGCCACCUCACCUGGCUCCUGAAUUCACUUUUUAAUCUUUUUUUUUUUUGAGACAGAGUCUCACUCUGUUGCCCAAGCUGGAGUGCAGUGGCAUGAUGUCGGCUCACUGCAACUUCCUCCUCCCAGGUUCAAGCAAUCCUCCUGCCUCAGCCUCUUGAGUAGCUGGGACCACAUGUGCGCACCACCACACCCAGCUAAUAUUUGUAUUUUUAAUAUAGAUGAGGUUUCACCAUGUUGGCCAGCCUGAUCUCAAACUCCUGACCUCAACUGAUAUGCCCACCUUGGCCUUCCAAAGUGCUGGGAUUACAGGCAUGAGCCACCAUGCCCAGCCCACUUUUUAAUUUUUAAAAUUAACUGUUAAGUAGAUCAAAAGCAUACUUAUAAAAUAUAUGUAAGUCAUGGUUCUCAUUGCUGGGAACCUUAAAAAUUCUGUUAUGAACAAUUUCAAACUUAUACAAAAAUGAAGAGGGUGAAAUAACGAACACCUAUACCUACCAUUCAGCUCCAUCAAUUAUGACCAGCCUUGUCAUAAUUACGAUUAUAAUUUCCUAGGGGUGUGUCUAUAACUUGACAAAACUGACUCAAAAACUAAUGAAAUACCUUAACACUCUUAAAUAAAUUGAAUUCAUGAUUUAAAAAAAACUUUUCUACAUUGUUGAUCAGAGUAUUUAUUAAUAAUUACACUCCUAAUACUAUACAGCUAUAAAAAGGAAUAAGAUCAUGUUCUUCGCAUGGACAUGGAUGAAGCUGGAAGCAAACUAACACAGGAACAGAAAGCCAAACACCACAUGUUCUCACUUUUAAGUAGGAGCUGAAAAAUGAGAUCACAUGAACACAGGGAGGGGAACAACACACACUGGGGCCUGUUGGGGGGUCGAGUCGGAGGAGGGAGUGUAUUAGGAAAGAUAGCUAAUGCAUGUCGGGCUUAAUACCUGGGUGAUGGGUUGAUAGAUGCAGCAAAUCACCAUGGCACACGUUUACCUGUGUAACAAAUCUGCACAUCCUGCACAUGAACCUCAGAACUCAAAAUUAAAAUUAAAAUUAAAAAAAAAUUCCACUCCUCGAUUUAUCAUUUGACCAUGUGCAAGAUGUAUUGUCUAGGUACAUAACACAGGAGGAAUGCACAUUGAAAAGAGAGAUUGUAUGCUUUUAAGUUUCAUUCAAAGUCCUCAAAAAUAUAGCCAAUAAGUCUGAAUGAUUGCAAAAUGACUCCCACAUAUCUGCCAAAAAGACAUAGAAGUAUUCAUAGCAGCAUUUUUCCAACUGUCAAAAAUUGAAAACAACAACACAUAUUUAUUAAUGGUAGGAUAGGUAAAUUGUGGAAUACCAUACAACAAUGAAAAUGAACAAACUAUAACCAUAUCCAACUAUAUGAAUGAUCCUCAUAAAUACAGAGAUCAUCAAAUGAGAGAAGCUCAAUAUAAUAAUAUGUAAAUCUGUGCAACUGCACUUAUAUGAGGUUCAAUAACAGACACAACUAAUUUAUUGUCACUUUGAUUUAAAUGUGUUCCCCAAAAGUUGAUGUGUUGGAAAGUUAAUCCCUUUGCCCUCAUGAGUGGAUUAACAGAUUAUUGAAGGCUCUGCCGUCAUAAAUGGAUUAAUGUCACUGUCACAGGAGUGAGUUUUUUAGUGUGGGAGUGGCUUUGUUAUAAAGGGGAGCUCUCUUUGGCUCCCUUGUUCUUGCCCUCCUGUCACAGGCUGACCCUCGCCAGAUGCGGAUGCCAUACUCUUGGACUUCCCAACCUCCAAAACUGUAAGAAGUACAUUUCUUUUCUUUAUAAGUUAUCCUGUCUGUUGUAUUAUGUUAUAGAAACAGAAAACAGACUAAGACAAUUGUGUUAGGAGUCAAGAUGACUGUUAUCCUUGAGAGGUUAGUGACAGUGAAUGAGCACAAGGGAACUUCAGGGGAUCUUGUCGUGUUCUAUUUUUCUUUUUUAUCUGAAAGCUUAUAUAUAUGUGUGUUCAUUUUGUGAAAAUUCAUUGAACUGUAUCCUUUAUGUGUGUACUUUCUGUAUAUAUACUUCAAUAAAAUUUUGUAUUACAAAGAAUUAAAGU